AUUGAACGCUGGCGGCAGGCCUAACACAUGCAAGUCGAGCGAGCGGCGGACGGGUGAAUAAUGUAUGGGCAUCUUCCUGAUCUCGGGGUCUAACUACUGGACACGGUAGCUAAUACCGACUACCAUCAGAUGACCCCUUAUGGGAUUAGCUAGUAGGUGAGGUAACGGCUUACCUAGGCGACGAGCCCUAGCUGGUCUGAGAGGCUGAUCAGCCACACUGGGACUGAGACACGGCCCAGACUCCGACGGGAGGCAGCAGUGGGGAAUAUUGCACAAUGGGCGCAAGCCUGAUGCAGCCAUGCCGCGUGUAUGAAGAAGGCCUUCGGGUUGUAAAGUACUUUCAGUCGGGAGGCGGUACCGAAAGAAGAAGCACCGGCUAACUCCGUGCCAGCAGCCGCGGUAAUUC
rnacentral:rRNA from 1 species